UUUGUCUGCUAUUGGACAAUCGUCUGCUAGUCGUAAUUUUACCCUCACCUGAAGAGUGUGAUGAACAGUAAAUUUUUAAUUUAUUAUGAUUAAAUUUCAACAACCUUUUUAAUUUUACUAUUUAACAUUUUUUUAUUUAUAAAAUAUGAAUUAUUUUUAAUAAAACAAGUACGUAAUAGUUUGUUUAUAAACAGAUUCCGAAGUUAAUUCUUUGUGUAAAAAAUAAACUUAGGAUAGUACUAUGAAAUUCAAAAGUAUAACUUCUCAACAUAUGCUUCUCUUGAAGCAAUUCAGAAAUUUUAAAACUUUUCCUGUUAGCGCAUUUUCUACAUCAGCGUUCAGAAACAGAGUGGAAAAGGCUGUGGACUUGUCUUAUUCUGUCUUCAUGCCUGAUAAUAAACUAUCAUCUUCAAUACCUGCUAUUAUUUUGCAUGGUUUGCUUGGAUCUAAGCAGAACUGGAGAAGCCUUGGGAAGGCUAUAGCAGUGAGGUCUAGUAGAAAAGUAUAUGCAUUAGAUGCCAGAAAUCAUGGAGACAGCCCUCAUUCUUAUGAAUUUAAUUAUGAAUUGAUGUCUGCAGAUGUAAAGCAUUUCAUGAAUUCUCAAGCUAUAUCAAGUGCGAUACUUAUUGGGCAUAGUAUGGGUGGAAGAACAGCUAUGCAUUUAGCUCUCACGGAGAAAUCUCUAGUCAACAAGCUAGUUGUUGUUGAUGUAUCUCCAAUUAGUAUACCCCAAGCAUUGUCAUCCUCUAUUGAUUAUAUGACAGCUAUGAAAGAGGCAAUAAAAACUGUUCCUAAAUUGGGAAUUGUUCAAGCUAGAAAAGCAAUUGAUAUUUAUUUAUCCAGAUCUAUACCUGAAAUUGGAAUUCGUCAGUUUCUUCUUACAAAUCUGCAUGAAGAAAACAAAGUCCUGAAAUGGAGAGCAAAUCUUGAGGUUUUAUCCAACUGUUAUUCUGAACUAAUGAGAUUUCCUUCAGUUUUGGGGCAUUAUUUAGAAGAUACUUUGUUUAUAUGUGGUGAAGAUUCUCCUUAUGUAAAACAGAAAAUAAAAAUAUGAAGCCUGUUUAAUUUUCUAUAGAAGCUUUGUCUGAUUCAUGUGAUCAGGAUCAGGAAAGAAUGUGAUCAGCAGCAUUAAAAGUGUGAUAGUAGUAACUGUGUUUCCUAUUAAGGAUCUAGUCUGAAAGCAAUCUGAAGAUUAUCCUCAGAUAAGAAUUUUAUUUGCAAAAGCAGAAUUUGCUGUCAUUCCAGGUGCUGGACAUUGGGUACAUAGUGAGAAACCAUCUGAGUUCUUAGAAAUAUUAUGUAAAUUU